rnacentral:rRNA from 1 species
GGUUAAGCGACUAAGCGUACACGGUGGAUGCCCUGGCAGUCAGAGGCGAUGAAGGACGUGCUAAUCUGCGAAGUGCGUCGGUAAGGUGAUAUGA